GUUCAAAGUAAGCUUUAAACUGUGACUUGAGUUUCUGGCACAGAAAUAUUAAAACAGUUGUCCCUAGAAGUUCAUAAGAUGGUUGGACUAUACCAGAGAUGAUUGGUUACUACAGCGAAGCCACUCUACCUAUAGCUCAAAUUCAAACGUUCAGCGAAGAACCCCUCUCCGUGGAAAAACUCGUCAGCAGUCCGGAUCUAACGAUCUCCACUGACUUUAUCAAUAAAUCAACGGAUUCUGAAGCAAUGUACACUUCAAAAGUAGCGUUUACAAAUCACGCCCGUACGCAUGGCAAACAAACUGAAGAUCCCUACAGGUGUAACAUUUCGCACCCUUGCUUCAAUAGUGUCACAACUCAAAAAUCCUCUUUUUUCAGGAAACGCGAAAAACUGUUUCCGUCGCUGAUAUAAUUAUUUUGGGCUUGAAGGUCUUGACAAAAUGUGAGAUAGUCCUUCAAAAUCGAAUUUCAAAUGUUAUUUGGUAUUCUUCGCUAUUUGAUAUUCCGUAGUCAUGAAAAUUAGCUAAUUUUCCAAGUUAUAACGGUUUUCAUGAUUAAUCCAUGCUUUGGACGCUUCAAUAUUUUGAGUUGUUACGGUAUUGAUGGAAAUAUUUUGACAUGUCACUCUCUUGAUGACUACAACAACCACAAGCUCCAGUGAGUACUGCGUUUUAUUUUGAGUCGAUACCUUAUUGUAGAUUCGAUCUUGCUUUACUAUAAAAAAAGUGGAAAAUUGGGGAAAAAAGAAGAACAAUUUCAAACGUAAAAAAACUCUUGUUUAAUAACGAAAAUUAUACCUUCUUGUAUUUAAUAAGUAAAUCACAAUUCUUAAUUACCUUUUUUAACAUUAGUAGAGGCAAGACUAUAAUCAGAUUUAUAAUCUGAUCUCAAAAAUCACAGAUAAAUUCAAAUAGAACUAGGUAUGAG